rnacentral:rRNA from 1 species
UACGAAGGGGGCUAGCGUUGUUCGGAAUUACUGGGCGUAAAGCGCGUGUAGGCGGACCACCAAGUCGGACGUGAAAGCCCUGAGCUCAACUCAGGAACUGCAUCCGAAACUGGCGGUCUGGAGUAGUGGAGAGGAAAGCAGAAUUCCUGGUGUAGAGGUGAAAUUCGUAGAUAUCAGGAAGAACACCCGUGGCGAAAGCGGCUCUCUGGGACGGUACUGACGCUGAGACGCGAAAGCGUGGGGAGCGAACAGG